rnacentral:lncRNA from 1 species
AUGAAUAUAAAUCAAAAGGAUGAAAGAGAAUCUUUAGAAAACAUGAAGAAAUCCUUCACCUCUUUCUCCCAAUCAGUGCGUACUGUAAUGAUUGUUAGAGAAAAUACUUGAACAAUGAGUGCACAUAUGAACCCCAGAUAUAGUCCCUACAUUAGAAAUAUUAUUAUUAGCAUGUUGAACCAAAUCAUAAGUUAGCAAUUUUUUUAAAAACCGGACAACAUUUAUUUACCUUCCCACCAAUAUGCAAUACGAAAGCUAAUACAACGGCUGCUGGAGUCCCUACCAAAUAGUAAGACCCGAGAUUGACAUAUGCGCCAAUAUUUUGCCUACCAACUCCUCUAACAAAACCUGAAAGAACACAUUGAAGUCCAUCCAGAAAGUUGGAUACUGC